rnacentral:rRNA from 1 species
GACGAACGCUGGCGGCGUGCCUAAUACAUGCAAGUCGAGCGGACAGAAGGGAGCUUGCUCCCGGAAGUUAGCGGCGGACGGGUGAGUAACACGUGGACAACCUACCCUGUAGAUCGGGAUAACAUCGAGAAAUCGGUGCUAAUACCGGAUAAUCAUUUGAAGUGCAUGCUUCGAAUGUAAAAGAUGGCUCCGGCUAUCACUACGGGAUGGGCCCGCGGCGCAUUAGCUAGUUGGUAAGGUAAUGGCUUACCAAGGCAACGAUGCGUAGCCGACCUGAGAGGGUGAUCGGCCACACUGGGACUGAGACACGGCCCAGACUCCUACGGGAGGCAGCAGUAGGGAAUCUUCCGCAAUGGACGAAAGUCUGACGGAGCAACGCCGCGUGAGUGAUGAAGGUUUUCGGAUCGUAAAGCUCUGUUGUUAGGGAAGAACAAGUGCCGUUUGAAUAAGGCGGCACCUUGACGGUACCUAACCAGAAAGCCACGGCUAACUACGUGCCAGCAGCCGCAGUAAUAC